UCUCUCUCCCUGAAAUAAUAACUACCAGGUGUAUCAGCUACCUGUUCUCUCUCUCCCUGUAAUAAUAACUACCAGGUGUAUCAGCUACCUGUUCUCUCUCUCCCUGUAAUAAUAACUACCAGGUGUAUCAGCUACCUGUUCUCUCUCUCCCUGUAAUAAUAACUACCAGGUGUAUCAGCUACCUGUUCUCUCUCUCCCUGUAAUAAUAACUACCAGGUGUAUCAGCUACCUGUUCUCUCUCUCCCUGUAAUAAUAACUACCAGGUGUAUCAGCUACCUGUUCUCUCUCUCCCUGUAAUAAUAACUACCAGGUGUAUCAGCUACCUGUUCUCUCUCUCCCUGUAAUAAUAACUACCAGGUGUAUCAG